CACAUGCAAGUCGAGCGGCAGCGGGAAGAUAGCUUGCUAUCUUUGCCGGCGAGCGGCGGACGGGUGAGUAAUGCCUAGGGAUCUGCCCAGUCGAGGGGGAUAACAGUUGGAAACGACUGCUAAUACCGCAUACGCCCUACGGGGGAAAGGAGGGGACCUUCGGGCCUUCCGCGAUUGGAUGAACCUAGGUGGGAUUAGCUAGUUGGUGAGGUAAUGGCUCACCAAGGCGACGAUCCCUAGCUGUUCUGAGAGGAUGAUCAGCCACACUGGGACUGAGACACGGCCCAGACUCCUACGGGAGGCAGCAGUGGGGAAUAUUGCACAAUGGGGGAAACCCUGAUGCAGCCAUGCCGCGUGUGUGAAGAAGGCCUUCGGGUUGUAAAGCACUUUCAGUAGGGAGGAAAGGUAGCAGCUUAAUACGCUGUUGCUGUGACGUUACCUACAGAAGAAGGACCGGCUAACUCCGUGCCAGCAGCCGCGGUAAUACGGAGGGUCCGAGCGUUAAUCGGAAUUACUGGGCGUAAAGCGUGCGCAGGCGGUUUGUUAAGCGAGAUGUGAAAGCCCCGGGCUCAACCUGGGAAUUGCAUUUCGAACUGGCGAACUAGAGUCUUGUAGAGGGGGGUAGAAUUCCAGGUGUAGCGGUGAAAUGCGUAGAGAUCUGGAGGAAUACCGGUGGCGAAGGCGGCCCCCUGGACAAAGACUGACGCUCAGGCAC
rnacentral:rRNA from 1 species